rnacentral:rRNA from 1 species
CUCCUACGGGAGGCAGCAGUGGGGAAUAUUGCACAAUGGGGGAAACCCUGAUGCAGCGACGCCGCGUGAAGGAAGAAGUAUCUCGGUAUGUAAACUUCUAUCAGCAGGGAAGAUAGUGACGGUACCUGACUAAGAAGCCCCGGCUAACUACGUGCCAGCAGCCGCGGUAAUACGUAGGGGGCAAGCGUUAUCCGGAUUUACUGGGUGUAAAGGGAGCGUAGACGGUAAAGCAAGUCUGAAGUGAAAGCCCGGGGCUCAACCCCGGGACUGCUUUGGAAACUGUUUAACUAGAGUGCUGGAGAGGUAAGCGGAAUUCCUAGUGUAGCGGUGAAAUGCGUAGAUAUUAGGAGGAACACCAGUGGCGAAGGCGGCUUACUGGACAG